rnacentral:lncRNA from 10 species
CUCUCUCACCACAUUCCCUCUUACCUUUUUUGUUUGUUUUUUAGGCAGGGUCUCACUCUGUCACCCAGGCUGGGGUGCACUGGCAUGAUCAUAGCUCACUACAGCCUGCAGCCUCAAUCUCCUGGGCUCAAGCGAUCCUCCCACCUCACUCUCCCAAGUAGCUGGGACUAUAGGUGUGUGUCACCACAUCCAGCUAAUUUUUUUUUAUUUUUAGUAGCGACAAGGUCUCACUAUGUUUCCCAGGCUGGUCUCUAACUCCUGAGCUCAAGUGAUCCUCCUGCCUCAGCUUCCCAAAGUGCUGGGAUUACAGGCAGGCAUGAGCCACCAUACCUGGCCCUCUCAUCCUGUUUUAACGUUCUCCACAGCACUUACUGCCAUGUGACAUGCUGUUGAUUUGUUUACUAUUUAUGCUGGGCCCUCCAUGAAAAUGUGAGCUCCAAGAGGGCAAGGAUUAUUUUUUUGUCACCAAUGUACCCUCCAGUGUUGGCACACAGUAGGUACUUCAUAAAUAUGUGUUACAUAACUAAAAAUUUUAAAAGCAAAGUGUAAACAGUGUUUAUUUAAAGGGGGAAGAUGAUGGCCGGGUGCAGUGGUUCAUGCCUGUAAUCCCAGCACUGUGGGAGGCAGAGGAGGGCGGAUCGCUUGAGCCCAGGAGUUCAAGACCAGCCUGGGCAACAUAGGGAGACCCUGUCUCAUACAAAAAAAUACAAAAAAAAAUUAGCCAGGUGUGGUAGCAUGAACCUGUGGUCCCAGCAACUCGGGAGGCUGAGGUGGGAGGAUUGCUUGGGCCUGGGGAGGGACGGAGGUUGCAAUGAGCUAAAAUCGUGCCACUGCACUCCAGCCUGGACGACAGAGUGAGACCCUGUCUUAAGAAAAAGAAGAAAGUAAACUUUUAAUUUUUUAAAAAAAUUAAAAAGAAUAAGAAUUUCUUUAAGUGGGAGAAGAUGGUAAUAAUAUGUUUAUAUAUGCUUGAAAUGCAAUGAUAGUUGGAGGGUAGUAGGAAGAUUGUAGUGCAAACUGGGUAGGCUGUAUAUCUUUAAAUUUUCUGAAUUUUAUUUAUUUUUGAGACGAAGUCUCAUUCCGUCACUCAGGCUGGAGUGCAGUGGUGUGAUCUCAGCAUCACUGCAACCUCCAGCUCCCGGAUUCAAGCGAUUCUUCUGCCUCAGCCUCCAAAUAGCUGGGAUACAGGCGCAGGCCACCAUGCCCAGCUAGUUUUUGUAUAAAUGUUUUGAAUUUUAAACCAUGUGAGUUUUUUAUUAAAAAACAACAACAACAAACAAAAAGAAUUCAGGGCAGGGCACAGUGGCUCACCUGUAAUCCCAGCACUUUGGGAGACCGAGGCAGGUGAAUCACUUGAGGUCAGGAGUUCAAGAGCAGCCUGGCCAACAUGGCAAAACCCCCCUCACUCCUAGAAAUACAAAAAUUAGCCAGGCGUGGUCGUGGGUGCCUGUAAUCCCAGCUACACAGGAGGCUGAGGAGGGAGGAUUGCCUGAAACUGUGAGGUGGAGGUUGCAGUGAGCAGAGAUUGCGCCACUGCACUCUGGCCUGGG